GACGAACGCUGGCGGCGUGCUUAACACAUGCAAGUCGAACGGAAAGGCUCCAGCUUGCUGGAGUACUCGAGUGGCGAACGGGUGAGUAACACGUGGGCAAUCUGCCCUGCACUCUGGGAUAAGCCUGGGAAACUGGGUCUAAUACUGGAUAGGACCUUUCUCCUCAUGGGGUUUGGUGGAAAGUUUUUCGGUGCAGGAUGAGCCCGCGGCCUAUCAGCUUGUUGGUGGGGUAAUGGCCUACCAAGGCGACGACGGGUAGCCGGCCUGAGAGGGUGAUCGGCCACAUUGGGACUGAGAUACGGCCCAGACUCCUACGGGAGGCAGCAGUGGGGAAUAUUGCACAAUGGGCGGAAGCCUGAUGCAGCGACGCCGCGUGAGGGAUGACGGCCCUCGGGUUGUAAACCUCUUUCAGUAGGGACGAAGCGUAAGUGACGGUACCUGCAGAAGAAGCACCGGCUAACUACGUGCCAGCAGCCGCGGUAAUACGUAGGGUGCGAGCGUUGUCCGGAAUUACUGGGCGUAAAGAGCUCGUAGGCGGUUUGUCACGUCGUCUGUGAAAUCCUAGGGCUUAACCCUGGACGUGCAGGCGAUACGGGCUGACUUGAGUACUACAGGGGAGACUGGAAUUUCUGGUGUAGCGGUGGAAUGCACAGAUAUCAGGAAGAACACCGAUGGCGAAGGCAGGUCUCUGGGUAGUAACUGACGCUGAGGAGCGAAAGCAUGGGUAGCGAACAGG
rnacentral:rRNA from 1 species